UACGGGGGAGCAAGCGUUGUUCGGAAUCACUGGGCGUAAAGGGAGUCUAGGCGGUUUGGUAAGUGGGAUGUGAAAUCCCGGCUCACCCGGGACCUGCAUCCCAACUGCUGAGCUUGAGUACAGGAGAGGGUGGGGAAUUCCAGGUGUAGCGGUGAAAUGCGUAGAUAUCUGGAGGAACACCGGUGGCGAAGGCGCCCACCUGGCCUGCUACUGACGCUGAGCU
rnacentral:rRNA from 1 species